rnacentral:rRNA from 1 species
GAGUGUGAGGUAGGCGGAAUGCGUUGUGUAGCGGUGAAAUGCAUAGAUAUGACGCAGAACUCCGAUUGCGAAGGCAGCUUACCAACACUUUACGGACGCUGAGGCACGAAAGCGUGGGUAUCGAACAGGAUUAGAUACCCUGGUAGUCCACGCAGUAAACGAUGAAUACUAAUUGUUCGGGGGGCAACCCCUGAGUGAUACAGCGAAAGCGUUAAGUAUUCCACCUGGGGAGUACGCCGGCAACGGUGAAACUCAAAGGAAUUGACGGGGGCCCGCACAAGCGGAGGAACAUGUGGUUUAAUUCGAUGAUACGCGAGGAACCUUACCCGGGCUCAAACGUUGGGGGAAUGACGGUGAAAGCCGUCAGCCAGCAAUGGUCGCCAACGAGGUGCUGCAUGGUUGUCGUCAGCUCGUGCCGUGAGGUGUCGGCUUAAGUGCCAUAACGAGCGCAACCCCUGCGUCCAGUUACCAUCAAGUCAUGUUGGGGACUCUGGACGGACUGCCGGCGCAAGCCGUGAGGAAGGCGGGGAUGACGUCAAAUCAGCACGGCCCUUACGUCCGGGGCGACACACGUGUUACAAUGGCGUGGAACAGCGGGAAGCCACCUGGCGACAGGGAGCGGACCCCUAAAACACGUCUCAGUUCGGAUUGGAGUCUGCAACUCGACUCCAUGAAGCUGGAUUCGCUAGUAAUCGCGCAUCAGCCAUGGCGCGGUGAAUACGUUCCCGGGCCUUGUACACACCGCCCGUCAAGCCAUGGGAGCCGGGAGUGCCUGAAGUACGUAACCGGAAGGAGCGUCCAAGGGUAACACUGGUGACUGGGGCUAAGUCGUAACAAGGUAGCCGUA